UAGCUCAGCUGGGAGAGCACCUGCCUUACAAGCAGGGGGUCACAGGUUCGAUCCCUG
rnacentral:tRNA from 1 species